rnacentral:lncRNA from 1 species
CUGGUUAAAACCUACACAAAUAUUUAUCAAAAGAUGAAAAUAUUAUGUUUAAAUAGAUCUGAGUAUUUUACGAGCCGAGCUGGAAAAAAAUUCAGCUCAUUUCAGGUCGAAAAUUUAUGCCCACAAAAGUCCUCGUCGGGCCGAGUAUCAUAUCAAAGUUAAGCAUGGAUCAUAUGUUAACCAUGCUUGAUAACGAGUUAACAUAUGAUCGAUGCCGACUUUGAUUCCGCUUCUUUGACAAGUUUUUUUGAUAGCUUCAUUCUUCUCGUGCACUAUUUGCGUAAAUCAAAUGAUACGGUACUAGUCUUUUUUAAUCAUUGAUAGUUUUCUAGUCUUACACGCUGACAUGAUGAAUAAAGAUAAAGUAAUGGCUAUUAUAUUAAGUAACAUAACAUACUCCGUCCGACUUAAAAUACGACAUCUUAGAGAUUUUAGACAUAUUACUAUUUGUUUUGGCUUUUCUAAAUACGUACCUUUUGAUACGCAC